GACGAACGCUGGCGGCGUGCUUAACACAUGCAAGUCGAACGGAAAGGCCCUGCUUUUGUGGGGUGCUCGAGUGGCGAACGGGUGAGUAACACGUGAGUAACCUGCCCUUGACUUUGGGAUAACUUCAGGAAACUGGGGCUAAUACCGGAUAGGAGCUCCUGCUGCAUGGUGGGGGUUGGAAAGUUUCGGCGGUUGGGGAUGGACUCGCGGCUUAUCAGCUUGUUGGCGGGGUAGUGGCUUACCAAGGCUUUGACGGGUAGCCGGCCUGAGAGGGUGACCGGCCACAUUGGGACUGAGAUACGGCCCAGACCCCUACGGGAGGCAGCAGUGGGGAAUAUUGCACAAUGGGCGGAAGCCUGAUGCAGCAACGCCGCGUGCGGGAUGACGGCCUUCGGGUUGUAAACCGCUUUCGCCUGUGACGAAGCGUGAGUGACGGUAAUGGGUAAAGAAGCACCGGCUAACUACGUGCCAGCAGCCGCGGCGAUACGUAGGGUGCGAGCGUUGUCCGGAUUUAUUGGGCGUAAAGGGCUCGUAGGUGGUUGAUCGCGUCGGAAGUGUAAUCUUGGGGCUUAACCCUGAGCGUGCUUUCGAUACGGGUUGACUUGAGGAAGGUAGGGGAGAAUGGAAUUCCUGGUGGAGCGGUGGAAUGCGCAGAUAUCAGGAGGAACACCAGUGGCGAAGGCGGUUCUCUGGGCCUUUCCUGACGCUGAGGAGCGAAAGCGUGGGGAGCGAACAGGUUUAGAUACCCUGGUAGUCCACGCUGUAAACGGUGGGUACUAGGUGUGGGGUCCAUUCCACGGGUUCCGUGCCGUAGCUAACGCUUUAAGUACCCCGCCUGGGGAGUACGGCCGCAAGGCUAAAACUCAAAGGAAUUGACGGGGCCCCGCACAAGCGGCGGAGCAUGCGGAUUAAUUCGAUGCAACGCGUAGAACCUUACCUGGGUUUGACAUGGAUCGGGAGUGCUCAGAGAUGGGUGUGCCUCUUUUGGGGUCGGUUCACAGGUGGUGCAUGCCUGUCGUCAGCUCGUGUCGUGAGAUGUUGGGUUAAGUCCCGCAACGAGCGCAACCCUUGUUCACUGUUGCCAGCACGUUAUGGUGGGGACUCAGUGGAGACCGCCGGGGUCAACUCGGAGGAAGGUGGGGAUGACGUCAAGUCAUCAUGCCCCUUAUGUCCAGGGCUUCACGCAUGCUACAAUGGCUGGUACAGAGAGUGGCGAGCCUGUGAGGGUGAGCGAAUCUCGGAAAGCCGGUCUCAGUUCGGAUUGGGGUCUGCAACUCGACCUCAUGAAGUCGGAGUCGCUAGCAAUCGCAGAUCAGCAACGCUGCGGUGAAUACGUUCCCGGG
rnacentral:rRNA from 1 species